rnacentral:rRNA from 1 species
CCGUAGGUGAACCUGCGGAAGGAUCAUUAAAGAGUAAGGGUGCUCAGCGCCCGACCUCCAACCCUUUGUUGUUAAAACUACCUUGUUGCUUUGGCGGGACCGCUCGGUCUCGAGCCGCCGGGGCUUCGGCCCAGGCGAGCGCCCGCCAGAGUUAAACCAAACUCUUGUUAAUAAACCGGUCGUCUGAGUUAAACUUUUGAAUAAAUCAAAACUUUCAACAACGGAUCUCUUGGUUCUCGCAUCGAUGAAGAACGCAGCGAAAUGCGAUAAGUAAUGUGAAUUGCAGAAUUCAGUGAAUCAUCGAAUCUUUGAACGCACAUUGCGCCCCUUGGUAUUCCGAGGGGCAUGCCUGUUCGAGCGUCAUUACACCACUCAAGCACUGCUUGGUAUUGGGCGUCCGUCCCUCACGGGGCGCGCCUUAAAGACCUCGGCGAGGCCUCACCGGCUUUAGGCGUAGUAGAAUUUAUUCGAACGUCUGUCAAUGGAGAGGACUUCUGCCGACUGAAACCUUUUAUUUUUUCUAGGUUGACCUCGGAUCAGGUAGGGAUACCCGCUGAACUUAAGCAUAUCAAUAAGCGGAGG